AUUGAACGCUGGCGGCAUGCCUUACACAUGCAAGUCGAACGGUAACGGGCCUUCGGGUGCCGACGAGUGGCGAACGGGUGAGUAAUACAUCGGAACGUGCCCGAUCGUGGGGGAUAACGAGGCGAAAGCUUUGCUAAUACCGCAUACGAUCUACGGAUGAAAGCAGGGGACCGCAAGGCCUUGCGCGGACGGAGCGGCCGAUGGCUGAUUAGGUAGUUGGUGGGAUACAAGCUUACCAAGCCGACGAUCUGUAGCUGGUCUGAGAGGAUGAUCAGCCACACUGGGACUGAGACACGGCCCAGACUCCUACGGGAGGCAGCAGUGGGGAAUUUUGGACAAUGGGCGCAAGCCUGAUCCAGCCAUGCCGCGUGCAGGAUGAAGGCCUUCGGGUUGUAAACUGCUUUUGUACGGAACGAAAAGCCUUCUUUUAAUACAGGAGGGUCAUGACGGUACCGUAAGAAUAAGCACCGGCUAACUACGUG
rnacentral:rRNA from 1 species